rnacentral:rRNA from 1 species
CGAGAUGAGAUCUCCUUACAGGGUCGUCGUAGACGACGACGUUGAUAGGCCACAGGUGUAAAGCCGGUGACGGCAAAGCCGAGUGGUACUAAUCACCCGAAAGUUGACGUU